UUUAAUUUUGAACGAGUGGCGGACGGGUGAGUAACACGUGGGUAACCUGCCCUUAAGUGGGGGAUAACAUUUGGAAACAGAUGCUAAUACCGCAUAAAUCCAAGAACCGCAUGGUUCUUGGCUGAAAGAUGGCGUAAGCUAUCGCUUUUGGAUGGACCCGCGGCGUAUUAGCUAGUUGGUGAGGUAACGGCUCACCAAGGCAAUGAUACGUAGCCGAACUGAGAGGUUGAUCGGCCACAUUGGGACUGAGACACGGCCCAAACUCCUACGGGAGGCAGCAGUAGGGAAUCUUCCACAAUGGACGCAAGUCUGAUGGAGCAACGCCGCGUGAGUGAAGAAGGCUUUCGGGUCGUAAAACUCUGUUGUUGGAGAAGAAUGGUCGGCAGAGUAACUGUUGUCGGCGUGACGGUAUCCAACCAGAAAGCCACGGCUAACUACGUGCCAGCAGCCGCGGUAAUACGUAGGUGGCAAGCGUUAUCCGGAUUUAUUGGGCGUAAAGCGAGCGCAGGCGGUUUUUUAAGUCUGAUGUGAAAGCCCUCGGCUUAACCGAGGAAGUGCAUCGGAAACUGGRAAACUUGAGUGCAGAAGAGGACAGUGGAACUCCAUGUGUAGCGGUGAAAUGCGUAGAUAUAUGGAAGAACACCAGUGGCGAAGGCGGCUGUCUGGUCUGUAACUGACGCUGAGGCUCGAAAGCAUGGGUAGCGAACAGGAUUAGAUACCCUGGUAGUCCAUGCCGUAAACGAUGAAUGCUAGGUGUUGGAGGGUUUCCGCCCUUCAGUGCCGCAGCUAACGCAUUAAGCAUUCCGCCUGGGGAGUACGACCGCAAGGUUGAAACUCAAAGGAAUUGACGGGGGCCCGCACAAGCGGUGGAGCAUGUGGUUUAAUUCGAAGCAACGCGAAGAACCUUACCAGGUCUUGACAUCUUUUGAUCACCUGAGAGAUCRGGUUUCCCCUUCGGGGGCAAAAUGACAGGUGGUGCAUGGUUGUCGUCAGCUCGUGUCGUGAGAUGUUGGGUUAAGUCCCGCAACGAGCGCAACCCUUAUGACUAGUUGCCAGCAUUUAGUUGGGCACUCUAGUAAGACUGCCGGUGACAAACCGGAGGAAGGUGGGGAUGACGUCAAAUCAUCAUGCCCCUUAUGACCUGGGCUACACACGUGCUACAAUGGAUGGUACAACGAGUUGCGAGACCGCGAGGUCAAGCUAAUCUCUUAAAGCCAUUCUCAGUUCGGACUGUAGGCUGCAACUCGCCUACACGAAGUCGGAAUCGCUAGUAAUCGCGGAUCAGCACGCCGCGGUGAAUACGUUCCCGGGCCUUGUACACACCGCCCGUCACACCAUGAGAGUUUGUAACACCCGAAGCCGGUGGCGUAACCCUUUUAGGGAGCGAGCCGUCUAAGGUGGGACAAAUGAUUAGGGUGAAGUCGUAACAAGGUAGCCGUAGGAGAACCUGCGGCUGGAUCACCUCCUUUCUAAGGAA
rnacentral:rRNA from 2 species